ACUCACUUCGGCGAUAUAUAUAUUACAAUUGGAACAAUACAGAAAAGGUUAGCAUGGCCCCUGUGCAAGGAUGAACUCACUGGCUCAAACUAUCCUGGUUAUA